rnacentral:misc_RNA from 1 species
GUCACACUUUACAUUCACAAUCAACAGAAGAUAAAGAAGAAGAAGAAGAAAAGAAAAAACAGAACAUGCACCGCGAAGACCUUGUAGAACAUGUGACAACUUUUCUCAAUCAUUGCACCCUAAACCGAUAAAGAACAUGUAGUUCUCAUUGCUUGGACAGUCCAGAUAUGCAAUUCGUUUUUGGUCAUUGAUCAUAAACUGAAGAGUCAAUUGUUGGUUUACAG